AUUGAACGCUGGCGGCAGGCCUAACACAUGCAAGUCGAGCGGAUGAGGGGUGCUUGCACCCCGAUUCAGCGGCGGACGGGUGAGUAAUGCCUAGGAAUCUGCCCGAUAGUGGGGGACAACGUUUCGAAAGGAACGCUAAUACCGCAUACGUCCUACGGGAGAAAGUGGGGGCUCUUCGGACCUCACGCUAUCGGAUGAGCCUAGGUCGGAUUAGCUAGUUGGUGGGGUAAAGGCUCACCAAGGCGACGAUCCGUAACUGGUCUGAGAGGAUGAUCAGUCACACUGGAACUGAGACGCGGUCCAGACUCCUACGGGAGGCAGCAGUGGGGAAUAUUGGACAAUGGGCGAAAGCCUGAUCCAGCCAUGCCGCGUGUGUGAAGAAGGUCUUCGGAUUGUAAAGCACUAUAAGUCGGGAGGAAGGGCUGCAGGUUAAUACCUUUCAGCCUUGACGUUACCGACGGAAUAAGCACCGGCUAACUUCGUGCCAGCAGCCGCAGUAA
rnacentral:rRNA from 1 species